rnacentral:rRNA from 1 species
GACGAACGCUGGCGGCGUGCUUAACACAUGCAAGUCGAACGAUGAAGCCUAGCUUGCUAGGUGGAUUAGUGGCGAACGGGUGAGUAAUACGUGAGUAACCUACCUUUAACUCUGGGAUAAGCCUGGGAAACUGGGUCUAAUACCGGAUACGACCAAUCUCCGCAUGGGGUGUUGGUGGAAAGCGUUAUGUAGUGGUUAUAGAUGGGCUCACGGCCUAUCAGCUUGUUGGUGAGGUAAAGGCUCACCAAGGCGACGACGGGUAGCCGGCCUGAGAGGGUGACCGGCCACACUGGGACUGAGACACGGCCCAGACUCCUACGGGAGGCAGCAGUGGGGAAUAUUGCACAAUGGGCGCAAGCCUGAUGCAGCGACGCCGCGUGAGGGAUGACGGCCUUCGGGUUGUAAACCUCUGUUAGCAGGGAAGAAGAGAGAUUGACGGUACCUGCAGAGAAAGCGCCGGCUAACUACGUGCCAGCAGCCGCGGUAAUACGUAGGGCGCGAGCGUUGUCCGGAAUUAUUGGGCGUAAAGAGCUUGUAGGCGGUUUGUCGCGUCUGCUGUGAAGGCCGGAGCUUAACUCCGUGUAUUGCAGUGGGUACGGGCAGACUAGAGUGCAGUAGGGGAGACUGGAAUUCCUGGUGUAGCGGUGGAAUGCGCAGAUAUCAGGAGGAACACCGAUGGCGAAGGCAGGUCUCUGGGCUGUAACUGACGCUGAGAAGCGAAAGCAUGGGGAGCGAACAGGAUUAGAUACCCUGGUAGUCCAUGCCGUAAACGUUGGGCACUAGGUGUGGGGAACAUUCCACGUUUUCCGCGCCGUAGCUAACGCAUUAAGUGCCCCGCCUGGGGAGUACGGCCGCAAGGCUAAAACUCAAAGAAAUUGACGGGGGCCCGCACAAGCGGCGGAGCAUGCGGAUUAAUUCGAUGCAACGCGAAGAACCUUACCAAGGCUUGACAUAUACUGGACCGCAUCAGAGAUGGUGUUUCCCUUCGGGGCUGGUAUACAGGUGGUGCAUGGUUGUCGUCAGCUCGUGUCGUGAGAUGUUGGGUUAAGUCCCGCAACGAGCGCAACCCUCGUUCUAUGUUGCCAGCACGUUAUGGUGGGGACUCAUAGGAGACUGCCGGGGUCAACUCGGAGGAAGGUGGGGAUGACGUCAAAUCAUCAUGCCCCUUAUGUCUUGGGCUUCACGCAUGCUACAAUGGCCGGUACAGAGGGUUGCGAUACUGUGAGGUGGAGCUAAUCCCUAAAAGCCGGUCUCAGUUCGGAUUGGGGUCUGCAACUCGACCCCAUGAAGUCGGAGUCGCUAGUAAUCGCAGAUCAGCAACGCUGCGGUGAAUACGUUCCCGGGCCU